GGGUUAGGAUAAGGGGUUAGAGUCAGGUUUUGGGGUAAGGGUUGGUUAGAAUAAGGGGUUAGAGUCAGGUUUUGGGGUAAGGGUUGGUUAGGAUAAGGGGUUAGAGUCAGGUUUUGGAGUAAGGGUUGGUUAGGAUAAGGGGUUAGAGUCAGGUUUUGGGGUAAGGGUUGGUUGGGAUAAGGGGUUAGAGUCAGGUUUUGGGGUAAGGGUUGGUUAGGAUAAGGGGUUAGAGUCAGGUUUUGGGGUAAGGGUUGGUUAGGAUAAGGGGUUAGAGUCAGGUUUUGGGGUAAGGGUUGGUUAGGAUAAGGGGUUAGAGUCAGGUUUUGGGGUAAGGGUUGGUUUUGAUAAGGGGUUAGAGUCAGGUUUUGGGGUAAGGGUUGGUUAGGAUAAGGGGUUAGAGUCAGGUUUUGGGGUAAGGGUUGGUUAGGAUAAGGGGUUAGAGUCAGGUUUUGGGGUAAGGGUUGGUUAGGAUAAGGGGUUAGAGUCAGGUUUUGGGGUAAGGGUUGGUUAGGAUAAGGGGUUAGAGUCAGGUUUUGGGGUAAGGGUUGGUUAGGAUAAGGGGUUAGAGUCAGGUUUUGGAGUAAGGUUUGGAUAGGAUAAGGGGUUAGAGUCAGGUUUUGGGGUAAGGGUUGGUUAGGAUAAGGGGUUAGAGUCAGGUUUUGGAGUAAGGUUUGGAUAGGAUAAGGGGUUAGAGUCAGGUUUUGGGGUAAGUGUUGGUUAGGAUAAGGGGUUAGAGUCAGGUUUUGGGGUAAGUGUUGGUUAGGAUAAGGGGUUAGAGUCAGGUUUUGGGGUAAGGGUUGGUUAGGAUAAGGGGUUAGAGUCAGGUUUUGGGGUAAGGGUUGGGUUAUGGGUAUAGUACUUUAAAUGUAUUUA